rnacentral:rRNA from 1 species
AGAGUUUGAUCCUGGCUCAGAGUGAACGCUGGCGGCAGGCCUAACACACGCAAGUCGAACGGCAGCACAGUAGAGCUUGCUCUAUGGGUGGCGAGUGGCGGACGGGUGAGGAAUGCGUCGGAAUCUGCCUUUUUGUGGGGGAUAACGUAGGGAAACUUACGCUAAUACCGCAUACGACCUACGGGUGAAAGUGGGGGACCUUCGGGCCUCACGCAGAAAGAUGAGCCGACGCCGGAUUAGCUAGUUGGCGGGGUAAAGGCCCACCAAGGCGACGAUCCGUAGCUGGUCUGAGAGGAUGAUCAGCCACACUGGGACUGAGACGCGGCCCAGACUCCUACGGGAGGCAGCAGUGGGGAAUAUUGGACAAUGGGCGCAAGCCUGAUCCAGCCAUGCCGCGUGUGUGAAGAAGGCCUUCGGGUUGUAAAGCACUUUUGUCCGGAAAGAAAUCCAAUCGAUUAAUACCCGGUUGGGAUGACGGUACCGGAAGAAUAAGCACCGGCUAACUUCGUGCCAGCAGCCGCGGUAAUACGAAGGGUGCAAGCGUUACUCGGAAUUACUGGGCGUAAAGCGUGGCGUAGGUGGUUUGUUAAGUCUGAUGUGAAAGCCCUGGGCUCAACCUGGGAACGGCAUUGGAUACUGGCUUACUAGAGUGCGGUAGAGGGUAGUGGAAUUCCCGGUGUAGCAGUGAAAUGCGUAGAUAUCGGGAGGAACAUCUGUGGCGAAGGCGACUACCUGGACCAGCACUGACACUGAGGCACGAAAGCGUGGGGGAGCAAACAGGAUUAGAUACCCUGGUAGUC